rnacentral:rRNA from 1 species
GACGUAGGGCGCGAGCGUUGUCCGGAUUUAUUGGGCGUAAAGAGCUCGUAGGCGGUUUGUCGCGUCGUCCGUGAAAACUCACAGCUUAACUGUGAGCUUGCGGUCGAUACGGGCAGGCUAGAGUUCGGUAGGGGAGACUGGAAUUCCUGGUGUAGCGGUGAAAUGCGCAGAUAUCAGGAGGAACACCGGUGGCGAAGGCGGUUCUCUGGGCCUUACCUGACGCUGAGGAGCGAAAGCGUGGGGAGCGAACAGG